UACAGAUGGGGUCGAGGAUUUGGUCUUUUGGGUUCCAUUUUUGGAAAGGAUGGUGUAUUAAACCAGCCAAACAGUGUCUUUGGACUUAUAUUUUAUAUACUACAGUUAUUACUUGGCAUGACAGCAAGCGCAGUCGCAGCUUUAAUCCUCAUGACGUCCUCCAUCGUGUCUGUGGUGGGGUCUUUGUACCUGGCCUACAUUCUGUACUUUGUGCUGGAGGAGUUUUGCAUCAUCUGCGUCAUCACAUAUGUGCUGAACUUCAUUCUCCUUAUCAUCAACUACAAACGACUAGUUUACUUGAAUGAGGCCUGGAAACGGCAGCUGCAGCCCAAGCAGGACUGACAACCUGACAGACGCUUAACUGACAGUCUCAAGUCCCUUUUUCCAUUAAGUUUCUUUUGCAGCAGUUUUUUUUUUAUUCUUCACAACAGAUAUUUUCCCUAAGAAUCUUAAACUGAUUUUUAAAACUCCUGUAAAUCAGAAGGGGCCCUAGAUAUUUUUUGUGUCAAUCUUCAUUUUAAAUAUGGAUACAAAAAAAGGAUUCACCGAGCCAAUCAAAGACAAGCUUUAACUUUACUUUGAAGAUGUUUCUGAAAUAAUAAAUAUCGCCCUAGCCCUCUUCCCUCAAUUGUAAAGUGAGCAGCCAUUGCUAGUAAUUCUUUAAUGUGUAUAAAUUCAAUUUCAGGUAUAACAAAUGUGAUCAUGACAUGAAAAUAUUUUAGAAUAGAUACUGUAUUAAAUAUUGCCAUGUUUACAAUAUGUAAUAUGUUUUUAGCUGAUGGAUUUAAACAUGUAGAUUCAACUAGAAUCCAUUUAUGUGAUAUUUGUAAAUAAAGGUAGAAAUAUUGGAUCCAUCCCUGCAGAACUUACUGUACAGUUUAGUUGAAGUGUAGCAAUGAGGAAUUGUCAGCUCAACGCUGACUGAUGAAAUAGUGAAAAAAGUAAGCCCUUACAGAGCAUCUUGUGAAAGGUACUGACAGCUGUGGGUGCAGCAUUGACAGCAAAAAUAAUAGGGUGGUUGGUUCCCUUUCAUCUCCCUCUUCAGAAAGGAAGAAACUGAUUUGGAAUGUUCAAAUCAAGUUUGUGUCUAGUCAUAAAACUGGAUCAAUUAUAACCUUACAGAGUGAGUCACAUGACCAGACCUUCAAGUCCAAGACCUUCAGGACACUAAUGAUGGGAAAAUGGGUAUUUUUCUUCGGAGAAAAGUUAGAAAUACUAAUGUCACCUUUAGGGUAAAGUCUCUUACACCAAUUGAAUUUUCAUGCAGAUAUUUUCCCCGAAUGUUGGUGCCAGUCAAACAGUAUUAUGACCUUGAAAUAGCCAGUAUAAACCCAAUUCCUACGAAGUAGGAUUGCUCUUUGGUAGCUCCAGUGUUUUCCCUAAUUGUUUCUUUCUGCAUGAUCUAAGCAGAUGUCUAGUUUAAUUGUUUUAGAGUCAGAUAUUGGAUUUGUAAACUUGAGGGCUGACAGGCUGCUCAGUAUGCUUAAUUGGGAGAAGUACUACAGGUAGAAAUACCUAAAGGUGAAAGAUGGUCAUGUAGUCACUGCUCUUUAUAAUAAUUACACGAGUGCAGUAAGAAAACUUUUUAAAGGGGAUCUGAAUAAACCCGAAUGAAAUUGUGACAGUAUGUUUCUAUGGUUAACAUCUUAUAUCAGAAUGUUAAAAGUGCCUUCUGUCUUAAAUCUCAAACCAAAUAUUUUGUGUGUUGACCUGGGCAGAAGUGUCCUCCCUCCCUUUCUUACCAAGAUGUAGAAAACUUGCAUUCUACAAAAGAGGUUCUGUAUGAUCAUUUUAUUCCUUUGAGAAAUAGCAAUGUUUUUGCUUCCAAUUUGAUUCAUCAUUACGUUAAGAAAUAGUCAUUUAGACCAGUAACUUCUGAGUGCUGUAUUUGCCUUCUUUUUGAAGGGAGGAGAUAGGCUCUGUUCUGCCAACUAAAAUGUGUAGAGUCGGCAACUGUUCAGUAGUUUGCAACGAACUGUCAUGAUUGGUGCAAUGUCGGUCUUCUGGCCCAAGGCAGGUAUAAAGUCUGAAUUGUAAUGAACUUUUAACCAUUUUAACCAGCUUCUUAAAAGCUAGCUUAAUUCCGAUUUCAUCACGGCUGUCUUCCCAUGAAUGUGAAUAUUUCGAUGCCUGUUUUAUUAUGUAUGCAUUGUUCUUGUAUUCUGAAGUAGUUAAAGAACUCUAGAAAACGUUGAUUGGAUGUCUGAUGUGAUGGAGAAACAAGUCCUCACUCUUGAGAGCUGCACAGUGAGGUUUGUGUAGCAGUGCAUCCAGUCCUACCAAGGCAGUUCACUGGUUCUGUUUUCUAAGCUAGAGUGGAAAUGGCUUGAUGGUUAAGACAUCUGUGGUAUAUAUGACCGUUUGUGCUAAACAAGUUCCUCGUGUUCCAAUAUCCAAUGGUUUCUCAUAUUUUGUAUCAAUCGGCAGAGUAUAGUUAAAGCUUGUCUUGAUGUUGCAUUCUUGCAAAUGUCUUCAACUCUUGCGUGAGUUGUUAAAAUGUUCAGCCAGACCCUUUAAGUUUUUCCUUUGCUUUCCUAAGCCUGGGGAAACCAUUGUUUCUGUUGUAUAAAAAUUUUUGCCACAUUCCUGUGACCCAGUAGAAUUAAUACUCUUUUUCUCACUGAGAGAUGAACAUGUGCUGCCUGAAAUAACAGCAUCACAAUGCCAGUAUUUCAGUAAGCAACAAAACACCUGUUUUUUUUUCUUUUUUGCCUGAAAGAAUUUGGGCUCCCCUCUAUACCUUCUGUUCUACCUAGAAGUGGGGAUAGGGGGACACUGUGUUAUAAAAUUGUCAUGACUGUUUUAGACUGAAUAUUUAAACAGUGCAGGAUUACUAGCCACCAAUGUUAAAGGACAGACUAGGGACAAAAUUUGUUUUUACUAGUAAUUCCAUGCUUUAUGUUUUUGAAGGCUUCAUAAAAAAGGAAGCCUCUUAUUUGAUAGUCAUAAAUUCCAUUUGAAGAAAUAAGAGAAGUUGUGAUUAGAUGAUAAAUUCUAGGGAAUCCAGGUAGUUUGGAGGAUUUCAUCUGGUUUUCCAUUACAGCUAGUUGCUGUCAGUAAGGGUAAACUUCUGGUGGAAUAACUCAGGACUUACUGUGUGCCAGGAAUUACUUUUACUUGAUAUAUGUAUCCUCUCCUUAAAUUCAUUAUUUUUAAAGAAUGUUGAAAGCAUUGAGUAUUUUCAUACAAAGAGACAAUUCUGACAUUUGGUAUCUAAGGGAUCUUUGGAUCUACUAAACUAGAGGACCAAGACCACAAUGAAAUUAAAACUACUGUAUGUUGGCUUUGGUCUGCUUAUUUUUCAUCUAUUUUUAAGAACACUGUCUGCAAAAAUACAAAGUUGUCUUCAGCAAUUACUUCAUAACUUAGGUUGGUACCAAUCUAAGUUAUGGUCUUGUCUUGAGAAUCAGUAUUAGACAAAUGCCAACAAAGAAAUCCACUAUCAUUUUUAAUAACCUAUUUAGGGGAAUAUACCCAAUAUGCAAUCCUUGUCUUCAUGUUUUUUCCUCUAGCAUACAAGCAUUGGCAAAACACUUCCGACAUUUUAGGCAGCACUCAUGAUUCCAAAUUUGUGAGAACCACCCUUCAAUCAAACAACAGGGGCGGGAGUGGUAGUCCAGGCUACUUGGUUAAACAUUUUUUUCUCCAAAUUAACCCAGAAAAGGUGAAAUGUUUUGUUAUAAAACUGUAUUAAGCAUGGCCUAAGUAUUAGGUGUAUGAUGUGUAUAGUAUGUUCCAACAAAAAUAUUUAUUACUAGUGCUUUAAGCUCCAGAGUAAACAUUCAUUUAAAAUGAAGUUCACUGGGCAGAUUUCCCCUUUAAUAUAGAUAGAAAUAUUCUUUAUCAGAGAUUUAGGGCACCAUUUUGCUAAUUGGUAAAUAAAACAAUUGUAAAUAUGUAAGAAUGUUUAUUUGUUGCACAUAACUUUUUUGGUAUAAAAUAAAUGUAGAAGUUACCUGUGGAA